GACGAACGCUGGCGGCGUGCUUAACACAUGCAAGUCGAACGAGAAUCUACGGAUCGAGGAUUCGUCCAAGUGAAGUAGAGGACAGUGGCGGACGGGUGAGUAACGCGUGAGGAACCUGCCUUUCAGAGGGGGACAACAGUUGGAAACGACUGCUAAUACCGCAUGACACAUUGGGGUCGCAUGGCCUUGAUGUCAAAGAUUUAUCGCUGAAAGAUGGCCUCGCGUCUGAUUAGCUAGUUGGUGAGGUAACGGCCCACCAAGGCGACGAUCAGUAGCCGGACUGGGAGGUUGACCGGCCACAUUGGGACUGAGAUACGGCCCAGACUCCUACGGGAGGCAGCAGUGGGGAAUAUUGGGCAAUGGGCGCAAGCCUGACCCAGCAACGCCGCGUGAAGGAAGAAGGCUUUCGGGUUGUAAACUUCUUU
rnacentral:rRNA from 1 species